UACAGAGGGUGCAAGCGUUGUUCGGAAUUAUUGGGCGUAAAGAGCGUGUAGGCGGCCAGGUAGGUCUGCUGUGAAAACUCGAGGCUUAACCUCGAGCUGUCGGCGGAAACCAUCUGGCUAGAGUCCGGAAGAGGAGAAUGGAAUUCCCGGUGUAGCGGUGAAAAUGCGCAGAUAUCGGGAAGAACACCCGGUGGCGAAGGCG
rnacentral:rRNA from 1 species